rnacentral:lncRNA from 1 species
CAAGACAGGAAUAUGACAGUUGAAACAAUUAACAGAUGUUGUUAUCUAUUCGUAGUCGUUUGAUGUGUUUGAUAAUUUGAUUUUGCCAUUUGAUUACGGACUUUCCGUUUUGAAUUAUCCUCGGAGUUCAGUUUUUUUUUGUGAUUGUGAUUUUACUUUUUGUUUAUGAUUUGUCAGAGCUCUGACAAUUUAUCUUAUCAAUUGCCAGAAUUAAAAUUUUAUAAGUUACAAAGUUUGCUAGUAAAUUGAUUUGAUAUAUACGGGAUCAGUAGAUUCCACCUUGGGCGAGAGUGAGCGAAGUAUGACCACCAUAUGGAAUAUACUAACCUCGUAUUACCAAUGUUAUUUCAACUGAUCGAAACGAGCUUAUAUUUUGAUUUGCAUAAGAAUAGUCUAUUCGAAGAUGUGUCUGAUAAGGAUGAUGGCCAUUAAGAUUAUAAUUGAUUUCUAAUCACCAGUGUCACCAAAAGGAUAUACAAUUGAGGUCAUUGUAUCAUAUUGGACGAAUAACUGGACACUUCAUUGAUGAGUUGAUCUCUGUCUAUAGAUGGACUGGUCUUAAAUAAGCUAACCGGUUAAACCCGCCCAGACAAGUGAAAUAAUUCAAAUAUAAUCAAUCGUAUUAGGCCGCUAACACAGUUUAUCACGAAUAUAUCUAAGCAACUAUCUUGAUAUGGGAAAUUUAGACGUGAAAGAAGAAAAUGAUCAAUAUUUUUCAAUUGCUGUUGUCGGGAUUAGUAUUAGCCAUUAGAGCAAUGCUUGGUAUCACGUGGACUAUUACAGUAAUCAAGUCUUUACUAUCAAAACCUACGUGCACUGGUGUUAACAAAAUCAAUCAACAACAAUUGCAAAAGCAACAAUUAAUUUUCAAAGAACCUUGAUAGCGCAAUUUUAAUACAGCAUUAAACAAGACUUCACUCAUUUAUAUUGAGAAAAGAAGUACCUCUAAGAAUUUUUCUGUAAACAAUUGAAAAAGUAUAAUUAUGUAUGCUUAAAACGUAUAUUGAUUUGAGGAACGAUACUUUAAUUGUAACUUCAACUAACAAAAAAAAAAUCCUACUGUCAAGCACUUAUAUUUAAAAGUGAAACAAACAAUACCGACCUGCAAGGUAAUUUAAAAAUAAGGCUAUUCAUGAAAACUGAUAACAUCAAACGUUAUCAACCAACAAAACGAGAGGGAAGCAAUUUUGUAUUCCCGUUUUUAUAAAAAUAACUCCUCAAAUUAUCGUGUAUAAAAUUUAUAUAUAUGCCUAUUCGGGAAAGAAUUGAAAUUAAAUAGUCGAAGUGGAUACUUAAAAAGUAACAUAAAAGUUAGCAGGC